GAGAAGUCUCUGGAAUACGGCACUGCUUGACAUAGAACAAAUCAGCUCUUAUUACAAGAAUAAAUACAAAGGUCUGAUGUUACAAAGGUUCACAUCAGCACGACGACACUACGCCUGCGAUACUACAAUUGCUUUAUGCUAGCAGCGGAACAACUCGAAGCAGCGGAAAUCUUCUAGCAGCGGAACAACGACGAAGGUGGUGAACUCCACUCCGCAGGGACUCUGGCUGGGACACGAUCUAGUUCGCACGAACGGAAACCACGACAAGCAAUCAAGCAAUCACGACAUCACCUGCAAUCUGGCAUGACACGUCAGGUCAAUGCAUUGAAUGUACUUGCAAGCUCACAACAACCAAAAGCAUCAAGGCAAGACAACAACAUAGCAUUACGCAGGUUAAUUAAAUUAACAUCUACCAUUAUACGACAACAACUACUAAGCAUGAUAUGAAACUACUACAAUACUGAUAAACCAACAUCUCAUUCCCAACAACAAUCUCAUUCUUGGCUAACCGGCCAAGCAAUAUACCAUAUCGACCACCUCGUGGUCCAUAUGAUCACCUCGUGAUCAAAACAUCCACAUGAUCACCUCGUGAUCAACAUAUCCACGCGGUCACCUCGUGACCACAUCACAAACUGAAUGAUCAUCCUCAAGAUCAUCUCAACAUCAUCAUCACCAUCCUGCCAAACUGUUACUGCUCACAUAUAUCAUAUAAAUCAGCUAUAAGUCAUUCCGUCACGUGAGUGUUGAUCGAACGGCGUGACCUAGUACGGACGCGGCUAUCGAUAGCUUAAACACACACUCUGCAGAGGUAGCGCACUGUACGCACACCACGGAACCCAUGGCCUCGCACUCCCAUUCGGGUGGACCAAUGACGUUCCGACAAAACCAAUCUACUGCCAUGACACUCUCCUGACCACUCCGACCAACACCCCCUUUGGGUUCAGCCUGGGUGGCCCCGUGCCUACCAAAGGCACCAACAGCCACCAUCGUGGCAAACAAAAACGGUCCCAAAUGGGGACAAAAGUGCGCAAAAUCCAACUACGGGCACACAAGGCUUAUGUCCGCCUACCUGAUCAGGGUAGCACGCGCCCAUACCCUUCCCUCGUUGGAGGCACCGGCGAGAGACACGGCAAUAGAAUCGCAUUAGGGCCUUCCCAUAAAGGCAAAUGUGGUUGCACUGGAGAAAGCCAGGUUCGAUGGCACCUGACCAACUUAAUGACGGAAUUUAUCCCCAAAAAUAUAAUUGUGAUAACUGAUACUCCGAUAUUAACUAUCAUACUAUAAUCCAAGUCAUAGCAAUAUCCAACAAAUAAUCUGAGCAUAAUAUCAUCAUAUCAAAAUACUCCAAGGAUAGCAUAACAUUUCUAUCAUGAUGAAUCUGAAAACAAUAACUCUACUACUCCAAUAACAAGAGCAAAGCUAUCCAGAUAAGAUCCACACGUAAACAUCAUCUCCGAAAUUAAUACUCCAAGCAACAGUAACACAACAUCGACUAGCAUCAUGAAAAUAAUCAUACUAACCACUAAUAAUCCAAAGGCAGCAUGACAUCCAAAGUAAUACUCCAAAAUAUAAUAAUAGAUAUCAUCAUGAAAACAAUCAUAAUAUCAACCAGUAAUACUCCAAUGGCAACAUGAUACUCAUCAACUACAAACAUAACUCCUAGUAAUCCAAACAAUAGCAUGGCAACAACAAGAUCAAAAUAAUAAUCCGAGAAAAUGCCAUGCACGAAGUCAUGUAGCUAAAGCAAUAUUUUAAACAAGUUCAAAUAGAUUAAACCAUGUCACUGCAUUACAGUGAUGCAAAUGAAGGGUGUGGCUUGCCUAGGGUGGAAGAAAUCACCGGGAGAAAGUGCGAGAAACUCAAAGAAAGAAUCACCGGAAAACGUACUCUCUCGGAGGGGGCUGAUUUGGUGCAAGGGCAAAAUGGUCAUCAUUAUAAUGUUGAAACAUAAUGAAAAUGAUACAAACAGAACGGGCUCGAUGAAACGAAGAAGUGGGCUUUGGAUUCACCUCAAACGGAGUUGUGCUUGAAAAGUGAUAGUUGUUUUUCUGCCAGGGACCUAUUUGUAAUAAAAUCAUCACAAACAAGCCCUCAGCCGGAAAAACAGAACGUGCACUUGGCAGAAAUACGCCUUCUCCUCUCGAAAACGUAUUCCACAUUGAAACAGAAAGAACAUACGCUUCCAGAUCAGUGAAAGCGCAUUCUGGUCUAAAGAAGGACGGAACUAUGCUUUCGGAAAGCAAAGACGUAAUUAGUAUAUUAAGCCUCCACUUAUCCACGUUAGCGUACCUGGGUCAACGGGGCUGAGUCUGCCAUGCGGGGCCCGCGAGGAGAACAGGGCCCGCCUGGCCUCUGUCUUCUUCUUCCUCGUCCUGCCCCCGCACGGGACAGAGGAGGCAGGGGAGGGCGCGUCACCGGCGACGGGCCGGCCGGCUCCGGCCGUCUCCAGCGAGGGUGAUGCCACCGCUGGGCUCGGGAGGACGGGCCGCAGCCGUCCCCAAGGUUAGCCGGCACCGGGGAGGGCGGGACGACCGCGGGGAGAGGGGAACAGAGGCGGCUCCAGCGGCGGUUGGACUUGAAUACGGAGGCUUCUGCUACUCCGGCGAGUGGGCGAGGGGUGGAAGAGGUGCACCGAGGAGUGGGGAAGAGAGUGGUGGCGGCAGAAUGGAGUGGGGGGCUCGGCUCAUCCAAAUUUAGCCGGAGCACCGCGGCGGCCAUGGCGGACGGAGGACGAGCAGAGGGGCUCCGGUGCUUGGGGAAGAGGUGGGGCGGGGUCAGAGGAGUGUGGUGAGGUCGAAUGUGAGCUCGGGAGGCCGCGAGGACGGCUAUAUAUAGGCGGGGCGUGGGAGGCCGAGCCGGUUGCCGCCGCUCGAGCUUGGCCAAAGCUCUGGCGAGCUUAGCGGUCACGGGGAGGCGCGGGAACGCGACGAGGGGGGAGGGGUGCAGACGAGCCGCAGAGGUCACGGAGACGAGCGGAGCUCGGGGACAAGAAGAGGAAGAGGACACCGAGGAGGGAAACGACGGUCGGCUACAGCACGUCCGUGGGCGCGCGGCAACGAGAGCUGACGGAGGGCUUACGGAGGGGGAGAUGGCUCCAGGAGGACAGUGACGGCACGGUAAAACUAUUAGACACACUUACGAGCAUGAAGACGACGAGAGGGAGAGGGGCCGGAGCUAGAAGACGGCCUGGGCGUGGCCAACGCCAGCAGAGCGCGCACAUGGCAUGCCAAAACUCGUGAUCACCACGUGCACUGGUGCACACAGUGCCACACGGCCGGCCAAACGAUGUCUGGGGGUUUGUCCUUCCUGGGGAGGUUGCAACUGUGGUUGUAGCUCGGUGAAAACUGCUAUGGUUAAAUGGUAAUCACCCUCGAAGUUUACUGCAGUAAACUUGGGUAAGCACUGGUGAUCAACAGGAAGGUGAUUGGGAGCAAAGGAGUUGUCUGUGAGGUUUAGGUAAAGAAGGACUUUCACCCUGGUAACAUUGAGAAGAUUAGGACCAAGAUGCACCAUAGUUGCUUCAGAAGUGCAUAUUUAGUCCAGAAUCAAGAUCAGGAAGGUGCACUCACAUGGAGUGUCAAAUUGAGCUCAAAUUUGGCAAGGCUUAGUGAUUUGGUCAUAGUAAGAAGCUGUAAAAAUCUCAUACCAAUUGGAUUAACCAAAAUGGUACUUCCUUAACAGCUAUCUUCACUGACCAGUAUCUUGCAAUAAUUCUAGAGAAAUAGUGGCUAGGUGAACUGGUGCCAAAUUUGGUGGAGAGAAGUUAUUUGGGUAGGAGAACAGUCUGGUAAUUUAUCAGGAUUUUUGAAGCAAUACAAAAUGCACUUGCUUCACAACCUGAAAUUUUUACCAGAAGCAAAGAUUUGGUCCUGUGCUCACAUAGAUGAUUGGAUGGGGCUUAAAUUUGUAGGAGUGAGAUAAUAUGAGCACCAGAAGAGGCAUGCAAAAUUUCAACUCAUUUGGAUUCUCCUAGAUAGUACUUCCUUCACAGUGGCUUUUGUUUGACAGAAACUUUGAAAAAUCACUGAGGAAGAUUGGCUAGGCAAAUAAAGUUGAAUUUUGGCAUGUGGCAAUUAUUUGGACAUAAAAGAAUGCCGAACAAGUUUGGGAGCAAACAAGAUCAGAUAAAUGACACUUCCUUCACAAAGCGCCACUCUGGACAGAAAGGAAGAAUAAUUAUUGGGGAAUUAUUCUUGGGCUAGGACAGGAAUGUUUGGGCAUAUUUGAGAAAUAUAUGACCCAUAGAAAUUAUGAGAAUUAUUUGGGAAUUUUUGGAUGGGCAGAAAUAUAGGUUGCUUCACAACCUAGGGCAGAUAGGGUUAUUCCUUUAAUAGAAAAAAAGGAUAUUCCCUAGAAAAAGAUUUUAGGGUUUGGUCAAAGUGUGAAGUGACAUGAUCUUGGCAAGGUUUUGAGAAUGAUGAGCCACUUGGGAGGGGAAAUGAGGAUGAUUUCCCAGGUGGCAAGGCCACAGAACCACUCCAAAAAGGAAAACAGAGCAAAAACCAAUAAAUCAAAAAGAAAAAGAAAAGGGCCAAAAACCAGGCUGCUACAAACCUUCCCCCCUUAAAGAAAUCUCGUCCUCGAGAUUUCGUUGCUCAGGGAACAAGUAUGACUUGAGGACACCGUUUCUAACUCGGGUAUCCAUUUCCUUUAUUUAUUGUUCCUCUGAGAAUUUCAGAUGAUCAACUUACCUUGCUCUGGGGUGGUUUGCUUCACCUUUCCCAAAUUCUGACAGGUCUUUGCUCAUAUACCAGUUCCUUUUUACUGACGUUGAUUCUCCAUACAUGUGGUGAUAUCCCAUGGAUCUGAGCAUAAAUUUUCUUUUGGUCAUGAAAACCUUUUUACUUCUGUCAUGGGAUAGCUUUAAAUAAAUGCAGGCCUUCUGGUUUCAAUAAAUGCUGAGAAUCAUGGCCAUUCUCCUGACGGGAUCUGACUACUCAUGGGUGGUACUGAUUUAUUUUGAUCUAUUCCUUUGGCUCGAGCAUGUCGCAUAUACCAGAGAUUUGACUGCCUUCAGGCGUGAGCAAUAUAAUGGUGUAUGGAGUUAUAGUUGUGUCAUAUCUCAAAUAUUUACAUCUUGAGAUUGGCCCGACAGGGGCUGACGGGCAAAUGCUUUUCCUGACAGACUGACCGUGUACUUGAUUCCGUCGGUGAGUAUACUGGGUCUGAGCUGAUUGUUCAGCUUUUGAUUUUUCUCAUGUGGUCGAUAUACCCAUCUGUGGUAAUAGACCAUGGUAUGCUUUAACACUGCCGCUGAGGUCAAACUGCUGAGGUUGCAAAGGAAUCUUGGGUCUGACAGAGCAGGCUUGGAUAUUCCACACUAAUCAUUCCAAGCGUGUCAGCGGGAUAUGAAAUCCAUGUAAAACAGAGUAUGCCUUUGUGGAUCCAUAUGGAAUUACGACUUUCGAUUGACUUGGGUAUCCGGGCCCUGAUGGUCGCGCAAAAAUCAUCAACAUACUUUUGCUGUCAGUCUCAUCCUUUAACGAUCAUGAUUUGCUUUGCCAGGAUUCCUUACUGAAAUAACUUGGCCAUGCCUGUCCUUGAUUUUUCGUAUGACCAUGGAUGUGAUUAGUGCAAUAUUUUUGACAUUACUCCUUAUGCAUGUUUUCUGACCUCGGUUCGCAUACAUAUGACCUAUACCCGGGGUUUGUGGCUAUACGGAGCUCAUUGCUGAGGCCAAUCAUACAAGAAGGUGACAAGGUUUUAAGACAUCUCCUUUUCAGUUGCGGGAAUAAUGACCUUGAUGACCAUUGUCAAGACUGUUGAUUCUGUGAUGUCAUCCCUAGACCUUGUCGAUCCUUGUAAUUCAUGAGAUGUAUCUCUGCUUAUCUUCAUUUUCAUGGCUCAUGAGGUUGUUGGAUCCAUACCUUUCUUAGGUAUAUCUGCGUGAUCAUUGUCGUAUCCCGUAUGAGUGAAUGAUCUGGCCAGGGAUACAUGCUCACCAUAUAUAAGAAUCAUAUGCAAUCAAACACUUGAUUUCUGAAUAAGACACAUGCCUUCACUGAUUUGUGCUUCUGACAAAAUGUUGUGAGUCUGAUUCUUGAGCGAUACUGCCAUAUAUUGGCAACUCAUCAUAUAAUCUCUGAGGACGAUGUAAUAUUAUGAUACUGACGCAGACUGAAUGGCUUACGAGAGAAGUCAUCCGAGUAGCUUGCUGAAGAGAACUUGUUAACUUCUGCUCAAAUCUUUUGUCUGGGUAUCGUGUAGAAAAAGGCUCUAUAGCUUACACACGAAGCUUGGUCUGAUUAUUGUGCUAGAGAAGCCUGAGUACCGUUCUUGAGAAGCUUCUCCUCGGUUUUGCUUGUUGAGAAAACUCAUUUCCGUCUGUUAGAAGCUUUUACCGAGGUAUCUUGUUGAGAAAGACCGGGUAUCGUGGGCCAGAAAUUGUUCACAUAUCAUGGUGAGGAAAAAUUGAGGAGCCUUGCCUCAUAAAUUUCUUCCGAUAGCGUGUGGAAUAAUACUGGGUUUCUUAUAUCCAAAACUUCAUACUGAUAUGCAGACUGAAAUCCAAACACACGCUCAUAAUAUUCUAAGGCUGAUUAUUUGCAUGAGAAAAAUGGUUUGACUGUCUUCCUUGAGCAUGUCACAUUCUGACUUUAUUUCGGAUGAUAACAUAUUUCAAGCAUCAUGCAUUGUUGAGCCAAAACUUUGUAUACGAUCCAUACCUCUGUCUGAAAAUAUACCGUUGGGCUUGUACCUGACUUGUCUUGCUGCUGACUUGAUCAUUACUGUUGUGAGGAUUUGGUACUGAUGAGGACUUGAUGCUGAUAAUCAAUCCAAGACACUAUUGGUAUUCAGAGCAGAUAUUAAUGCCAUAAUGCAGUUGACUGGGUGGACCAUAAUGUUCAGCUGAGCUUCUUCCAACUAUUUGAAAUCCUUAUUGCUUCUUCGAGUCCGGUGUCAGUUGAUGAUCAACUCUUUAUAGGGGAAAAUAAUGUAACACCGGGGCCCAAAAAGAAAGAAGCAAAAGAAAACUCAACUAACAUAAGCACACAACAACAAUCAAUGUCACAUAUUACUGCUAGUCACACAAUAUGCAUGUCUACGUAAGCACACAAAUUUCGCGGAAUCUCUGGUUCUAUGAUCUAGCAUGUUGUGACGAUGUGCACGAGGACGAAUAAAUGUGUGGAAAAAUUGGUGUAAACAGCGCUACACCAAGUGCUAGCUUAGCCAGGUAGCAACCUGGACUAGCUCGGAGGCGAGGACGCACUCGGUAACCAUGUAGUGGGACACGAAGGUCGCAACCACAUUAUUAUCAAGCGGACAGAAAAUAUCCGUACUCGUCCAAGAAAUAAGGAUAGCAGGGAAAAACUGAGUCAUCUGGCAUUGCCCUUUCGUGAUGACUAAGAUCAUUAAGGGUUGCCAACACGACAAAAUAAAAAGGAGGAUCCGGGAUAGAAGCAUGUCUACCACCGAAACAAAAUGGGGCUGAAGGAAAGAAAUCGGUGCGAUACCGGAGCACCAUUUCUGCAAACAGUGUUGGGAUCACUUGGCAUCACUCCGCUAGGACAUAAAUGACACCAAACACCAAAGAACAGGCAAUAAAAGAAAUCUAGAGGAAUGCAAAGGCUGAGCUGUAGUGGAUCCGAACCGAUGCCAUCUAUACUCACCAGAUAAAUCAGCAAUGGCAAAAUAAUAAGGUUAUACGCAUACUAUGCAACAAACAAAUGCAGCAACCAAAUGCAACAAACAAGGUAGGCUCUAUACUACCGAUUACUACUGGUUUCUACCGCUCGCGCUGACUAGGGCGUCCUACAGCCAGACCUGCUCUGAUACCAAGCGCUAUCGCACCCCGGCUCAGAGAAAUCGGAACUCCCCGUAUUCCAGCCCAGAGAUCGAGGAGAAGUCUCUGGAAUACGGCACUGCUUGACAUAGAAUAAAUAAGCUCUUAUUACAAGAAUAAAUACAAAGGUCUGAUGUUACAAAGGUUCACAUCAGCACAACGACACUACGCCUGCGAUACUACACUUGCUCUAUGCUAGCAGCAGAACAACUCGAAGCAGCGGAAAUCUUCUAGCAGCGGAACAACGAUGAAGGUGGUGAACUCCACUCCGCAGGGACUCUGGCUGGGACACGAUCUAGCUCGCACGAACGAAAACCACGACAAGCAAUCAAGCAAUCACGACAUCACCUGCAAUCUGGCAUGACACGCCAGGUCAGUACAUUGAAUGUACUUGCAAGCUCACCACAACCAAAAGCAUCAAGGCAAGACAACAACAUAGCAUUAAGCAGGUUAAUUAAAUUAACAUCUACCAUGAUACGACAUCAACUACUAAGCAUGAUAUGAAACUACUAGAAUACUGAUAAACCAACAUCUCAUUCCCAACAACAAUCUCAUUCUUGGCUAACCGGCCAAGCAAUAUACCAUCUCGACCACCUCGUGGU
rnacentral:lncRNA from 1 species